rnacentral:rRNA from 1 species
CGGUAAAGAGCGGCGGACGGGUGAGUAACGCGUGGGUAACCUGCCCUGUACACACGGAUAACAUACCGAAAGGUAUGCUAAUACGAGAUAAAAUACUUUUAUCGCAUGGUAGAAGUAUCAAAGCUUUUGCGGUACAGGAUGGACCCGCGUCUGAUUAGCUAGUUGGUAAGGUAACGGCUUACCAAGGCGACGAUCAGUAGCCGACCUGAGAGGGUGAUCGGCCACAUUGGAACUGAGACACGGUCCAAACUCCUACGGAAGGCAGCAG